UUGUUUGCACUCCAAUCACUUUUACAAAUUAAGGAAAAUUACCACAAUUUUGUUUAGCUCAGGUUUCACACUGAGUUCACGAAAUUAGCUCAGCCAUCCCAACAAAGUCAGCACUUUGUUAGUGAGCGCUUGAAAAAAAAAGUCUAUCUGGAGUUUUGUGGUGUAUACAAACGAAGCAUAGAGAAAGCUAUGAUGCUUUAUAGAAGUGGGCCAAGUGUUUUUAAUUAGGCUCAUUGGUUCAGCAUAAGUUUUGAAGAACAAUCAAAAUAGCGGAUUAGCUGUUUCUUUUAAAUCUAGGGUUUCUUGCCAUUCAUUUUUCCCAUGAGAACUUGCAGAUAGCACUGUAAGGUUUUUUUUUUUUUUUUUUUUUUAUUCUCUUUUCUUUCUAUUUUUUUUUUUUUAAACAAGCCUCAUUAUGGGCUCGCAGGAAAAGGACCAAUUGAAAUUUCUGAUACUGUAACAUUCCCCACCGUCAUUCCAAGGGGAUGGGAGCUUUUCACAGCGUUCCUUGCUGGACUCGCGGUUCUGGAACAUAUUACAAAACCACAGAGGCCAAAUGUUUUCUCUGAGGAGUUUGGACUCUGUUUUUGGCCGAAAAUAUUUAGGCCUCACUGGUUGCUUAUUUACUCUGCUAUUAAGAACAAGAAAGAGAAGAAGAAGAAGAGAAGAAGAAAAGGAAAACGUUGGUGGGGCGGGAGGCACCAGAAGCAGUCAGCCAUGGCUUCCGCUUUGGUGACAAUGUCCUUGCUCAGUACUGCUCCCUUUUGUGGUCAAGUCUCAUUUAGAAGAAAUUAUUGUUAAUCAGUGUUUAGUAAAAUAUACCCUAGAGCCACAUGGCCAUAUAUAUAUAUUUUAAAUCACUGCCAUUACAUAAAUUCUCAAACAAAACGAAACAAAGCACCUCCUCCCCUGCAAACAAACAAACAAACAAACAACCCAAAAACAAACAAACAAACAAACAACCCAAAAACAAACAACCAACCCUAAGGGAUCGACUGAUCCACCAUUAUUUAAGAUUUUCUAAACCGUUCAAAAAUUGCUACCAAUUUAAGAAAUCACAUGUUGGGAAAGCUGUGUCAGACUGGAAUUAAGAUCAAAGAUUAAAAACAGCAGAUCUGCAAGCUAAGGGAAGGAAUUCUGCAGGAAUGUGUGUUGAUAUGUUCAUUUGUGGGAAUCUAAAUAAGAGUGGAAAGAAUUCAUGUCUUCAGCUGUGGGCUACUGACAAGAAGAUGCCACUCGUAAUGUAUCCUAGGAAGAAAUCUAGCCUCUUCUUGUGUGAGGAAAAUAGAAAUCGAGAGAAAUGAAGACAGAGACUCCUUGUCUAUCCAUCGUUACAGUGACAUCACGUGGGUUUAACUAGGAAACUUCUGAGCCGCCUGGUCACUGACAUGUGGCUUGUCCUUGUGGUGGGCCCUCAGUCAUGGCUAGUCUCCCAGCUCCUGGGCCUUACGCAGUUCACCUCUGCGCUCGUCACUCUUCACAAGUGAAGGUGUAGACAAAAGGCCUCAGUGCCUCUACUUCUUUGUAUCCAAACAACUGCUUAGGGCAUUGUGCUCAUGCAGGUCCCUCUCCAGCCCACUCCCAGAAGUUCACACCUCAUCUUUAACAUCCAUACUACGUCAAGAUGUGAGGCUUGCCUUCCUGGAUUGGCAAACAAAUCUUGUUUCUUAAUGGAAUGUCCCUGGAAUUUUUCCCUUAAAAAGAAACUAGAGAGUAUCACAGAACUGAAGAAUAACACCCCAAUUAAGACACGCCCACUGCUUUCCGAGGGUUUAGGACAGACUUUGGAUAUAGGAAUGUGAAAGGCUCUAAAAAUCUAUUUUAAGCCAAAACC
rnacentral:lncRNA from 1 species